rnacentral:rRNA from 1 species
GAUGAACGCUGGCGGCGUGCCUAAUACAUGCAAGUCGAGCGAACAGACGAGGAGCUUGCUCCUCUGACGUUAGCGGCGGACGGGUGAGUAACACGUGGAUAACCUACCUAUAAGACUGGGAUAACUUCGGGAAACCGGAGCUAAUACCGGAUAAUCUAUUGAACCGCAUGGUUCAAUAGUGAAAGACGGUUUUGCUGUCACUUAUCGAUGGAUCCGCGCCGCAUUAGCUAGUUGGUAAGGUAACGGCUUACCAAGGCAACGAUGCGUAGCCGAGCUGAGAGGGUGAUCGGCCACACUGGAACUGAGACACGGUCCAGACUCCUACGGGAGGCAGCAGUAGGGAAUCUUCCGCAAUGGGCGAAAGCUUGACGGAGCAACGCCGCGUGAGUGAUGAAGGUCUUCGGAUCGUAAAACUCUGUUAUUAGGGAAGAACAAAUGUGUAAGUAACUAUGCACGUCUUGACGGUACCUAAUCAGAAAGCCACGGCUAACUACGUG